rnacentral:lncRNA from 1 species
AAAAACCAAUUCUUCCGCUCAUUUAACGAGUACAAGUCACACUUUGGAGGUGUACAUAAAGAAAAGUUGACCUUAUAUACCUGCCAGAUAUGUGAUUUGUCAAGAAGGAAAUUACAGGUACUGAAGAAACAUCUCGUUAAGGACCAUAAAUGCUCUGAAGAUAGAUAUAGAUGUAUAGAGGUUGCCAAUAAAAAUUUCAUUGACCCGAAGGAUGUUUUGCCAUAUCGAGGGAGACGUAAAGGAAAGGGAAGAAGCAAAACAAAUUGAGGGAGAAAGUUGAGGAAAGGAAGAGAAAAGCCAAGGAAGAGGCUCAAGAAACAC